CCGUGGGAUGGGGAUGGAGCUCCCCGACAACUGCCGUUCAUCGGCUGAUAGCUCCUGCCAGACC
rnacentral:ncRNA from 2 species